GAGUGAUGAAGCACUUGCCUGUCAGAGGUCCGCCCUUGCCAGCACGGAUAUUCUGACUAAAGUCUCUACUUCUACCAAUUUCUGAACAUCGCAGCUGGGAGCCUUCGGUAGAAGGGCUGAAGCCUCCAAGAGAGCAAUAUUCUCACUCGUACAAAGGUUCCCUCAGGACCACUUGACGCCUCACUGUUCUUUUCCUUCCAAAGUGCAGUUGACAUGUGUCCACUCAUGAUCUGAGCCACUCUGUCUGAUAUACCAAGUCUUCAUCACCAAAGUCCUCUGGUUUGGAAGUUUUUAAUGGAAAGAAGAACCUUCUGCUAGAGGUUUUUAGACAAGAAUCCACCAGAAACAGGAGGCCCUAUUGGCUCGAACAGGUUUAUCUUGGGGGUAUCGUACAGAACGGUGUUUUGGGUGUUGAACAGAGGCCCCCGUGAAGAAGGAGGAGGAUGAGACAGCUGAAAGGGAAGCCCAAAAAGGAAACUUCCAAAGAUAAAAAGGAGAGGAAGCAGGCUAUGCAGGAAGCCCGUCAGCAGGUCACAACGGUGGUGCUUCCCACCCUGGCUGUGGUGGUGCUUCUGAUCGUUGUGUUCGUUUACGUAGCAACCCGCCCAAAUACAACUGAAUGAUAUGGAGCGGAUAUUUCGCAACGUUUGGGGAAGUCAUGCUUACCUACUCUUUUACCAAGAGCCAAAAACUAAAAAAUCCCCAAGAGGGGGGAAAAAGGAAUGUUUUUUCUGAAAAGGAGUGUGGUUUCUUUGACUUGAUUCAAGCUCUUCAGUUCCUUUCGUCUCUUGGAAUGUGGUACAAGAUGUAUCUGCCAUCUUGGUAAAAAUUGCGCUCUGUGGUUCAGCUUAUGUGCCUUUUUGACUUCAGCCGUGGAUGAUUCUCCCAUUUUCAAUCUCUGUCAUAAAAGUGGGUUCUGUUGUCAAAGUUUCUAUGAAUUGGGGUGGGCUGUUUGGUUCCCCCCCCCCCUUUUCAAUGAAUUUAGCAACAUGUUAAUGUAAUUUCUGCUUGUACUUGUAUGUUGGCUCCACAACUUCCAAAGAAGUGAAAAUUUCCCCUACUCUUUGUGACGAUAUAUCGGCAUUUGAAAACCUUUGACUAAAAAAAGAUAUAUUUAUUUUUGGAAUAAAGAUGAUUGUCUUACAUAUAAAGCCUUCCUACUGAUUUGCCCCUCUUGUGUGAAAUGUUGUUUGUA